rnacentral:rRNA from 1 species
GACGAACGCUGGCGGCGUGCUUAACACAUGCAAGUCGAACGGUGAACGAGGGAGCUUGCUCCCUCCGGAUCAGUGGCGAACGGGUGAGUAACACGUGAGCAAUCUGCCCCGAACUCUGGGAUAAGCGUUGGAAACGACGUCUAAUACCGGAUACGACGCGGGAGGGCAUCCUCUCCGCGUGGAAAGAACUUCGGUUCGGGAUGAGCUCGCGGCCUAUCAGCUUGUUGGUGAGGUAACGGCUCACCAAGGCGACGACGGGUAGCCGGCCUGAGAGGGUGACCGGCCCACCGGGGGGGGGGGACGGGCCCAGACCCUACGGGGGGGGGGGGGGGGGGAAAUUGGCACGUGGGGCGAAGCCUGGUGCAGCAACCCCGCGUGGGGGGCGACGGCCUUCGGGUUGUAAACCUCUUUUAGCAGGGAAGAAGCGAAAGUGACGGUACCUGCAGAAAAAGCACCGGCUAACUACGUG